rnacentral:rRNA from 1 species
UACAGAGGGUGCAAGCGUUAAUCGGAAUUACUGGGCGUAAAGCGCAUGUAGGUGGUUUUGUAAGUUUGAUGUGAAAGCCCUGGGCUUAACCUGGGAAUGGCAUUGGAAACUGCAAGACUUGAGUCUGAGAGAGGGCAGUGGAAUUUCCGGUGUAGCGGUGAAAUGCGUAGAGAUCGGAAAGAACAUCAGUGGCGAAGGCGUCUGCCUGGCUCAAGACUGACACUAAAGUGCGAAAGCGUGGGGAGCAAACAGG